rnacentral:rRNA from 1 species
GAUGAACGCUGGCGGCGUGCCUAAUACAUGCAAGUCGAGCGAAGCGGGGACGGGCGAGUAACACGUGGAUAACCUCCUAUAAGACUGGGAUAACUUCGGGAAACCGGAGCUAAUCCGGAAUUUUAUAGCUGGAUGUGCGGUUCAUUAGCUAGUUGGUAGGGUAACGGCUUACCAAGGCAACGAUGCAUAGCCGACCUGAGAGGGUGAUCGGCCACACUGGGACUGAGCCAAGGCCCAGACUCCUACGGGAGGCAGCAGGAGGGAAUCUUCCGCAAUGGGCGAAAGCCUGACGGAGCCACGCCGCGUGAGUGAAGAAGGUCUUCGGAUCGUAAAACUCUGUUAUUUGGGAAGCGGUACCUAAUCAGAAAGCCACGGCUAACUACGUGCCAGCCGCCGCGGUAAUUC